GAUGAACGCUGGCGGCGUGCCUAAUACAUGCAAGUCGAGCGAACGGACGAGAAGCUUGCUUCUCUGAUGUUAGCGGCGGACGGGUGAGUAACACGUGGAUAACCUACCUAUAAGACUGGGAUAACUUCGGGAAACCGGAGCUAAUACCGGAUAAUAUUUUGAACCGCAUGGUUCAAAAGUGAAAGACGGUCUUGCUGUCACUUAUAGAUGGAUCCGCGCUGCAUUAGCUAGUUGGUAAGGUAACGGCUUACCAAGGCAACGAUGCAUAGCCGACCUGAGAGGGUGAUCGGCCACACUGGAACUGAGACACGGUCCAGACUCCUACGGGAGGCAGCAGUAGGGAAUCUUCCGCAAUGGGCGAAAGCCUGACGGAGCAACGCCGCGUGAGUGAUGAAGGUCUUCGGAUCGUAAAACUCAGUUAUUAGGGAAGAACAUAUGUGUAAGUAACUGUGCACAUCUUGACGGUACCUAAUCAGAAAGCCACGGCUAACUACGUGCCAGCAGCCGCGGUAAUACGUAGGUGGCAAGCGUUAUCCGGAAUUAUUGGGCGUAAAGCGCGCGUAGGCGGUUUUUUAAGUCUGAUGUGAAAGCCCACGGCUCAACCGUGGAGGGUCAUUGGAAACUGGAAAACUUGAGUGCAGAAGAGGAAAGUGGAAUUCCAUGUGUAGCGGUGAAAUGCGCAGAGAUAUGGAGGAACACCAGUGGCGAAGGCGACUUUCUGGUCUGUAACUGACGCUGAUGUGCGAAAGCGUGGGGAUCAAACAGGAUUAGAUACCCUGGUAGUCCACGCCGUAAACGAUGAGUGCUAAGUGUUAGGGGGUUUCCGCCCCUUAGUGCUGCAGCUAACGCAUUAAGCACUCCGCCUGGGGAGUACGACCGCAAGGUUGAAACUCAAAGGAAUUGACGGGGACCCGCACAAGCGGUGGAGCAUGUGGUUUAAUUCGAAGCAACGCGAAGAACCUUACCAAAUCUUGACAUCCUUUGACAACUCUAGAGAUAGAGCCUUCCCCUUCGGGGGACAAAGUGACAGGUGGUGCAUGGUUGUCGUCAGCUCGUGUCGUGAGAUGUUGGGUUAAGUCCCGCAACGAGCGCAACCCUUAAGCUUAGUUGCCAUCAUUAAGUUGGGCACUCUAAGUUGACUGCCGGUGACAAACCGGAGGAAGGUGGGGAUGACGUCAAAUCAUCAUGCCCCUUAUGAUUUGGGCUACACACGUGCUACAAUGGACAAUACAAAGGGCAGCGAAACCGCGAGGUCAAGCAAAUCCCAUAAAGUUGUUCUCAGUUCGGAUUGUAGUCUGCAACUCGACUACAUGAAGCUGGAAUCGCUAGUAAUCGUAGAUCAGCAUGCUACGGUGAAUACGUUCCCGGGUCU
rnacentral:rRNA from 1 species